rnacentral:rRNA from 1 species
AGCAGCCGCGGUAAUUCCAGCUCCAAUAGCGUAUAUUAAAGUUGUUGCAGUUAAAAAGCUCGUAGUUGAAUUUCGGGAUCAAUACGUUGGUCGUGCCUUGGUACGUACUGGCGUCAUUGGUUUCUACCUUCUGAAGAACCUCGAUGUCAUUAAUUUGGUGUCUUGGGGAAUCAGGACUGUUACUUUGAAAAAAUUAGAGUGUUUAAAGCAGGCUCACGCUUGAAUACAUUAGCAUGGAAUAAUGAAAUAGGACGUUUGAUUCUAUUUUGUUGGUUUCUAGGAUCGACGUAAUGAUUAAUAGGGAUAGUUGGGGGCAUUAGUAUUCAAUUGUCAGAGGUGAAAUUCUUGGAUUUAUUGAAGACUAACUACUGCGAAAGCAUUUGCCAAGGAUGUUUUCAUUAAUCAAGAACGAAAGUUAGGGGAUCGAAGACGAUCAGAUACCGUCGUAGUCUUAACCAUAAACUAUGCCGACUAGGGAUCGGAUGAUGU